rnacentral:rRNA from 1 species
CAGUCGCCCGGGAAAACGUAGGGGGCGAGCGUUGUCCGAAGUUACUGGGCGUAAAGCGCGCGUAGGCGGCUUCUUAAGUCUGAGGUGAAAGGUUCAACGCUUAACGUGAACAGUGCCUUGGAUACUGGGGAGCUUGAGUAUGGGAGAGGGCAGUGGAAUGGCUGGUGUAGCGGUGAAAUGCGUAGAUAUCAGUCGGAACACCCAUGGCGAAGGCAGCUGCCUGGCCUAAUACUGACGCUGAGGUGCGAAAGCGUGGGGAGCGAACGGGAUUAGAUACCCCAGUAGUCCCUGUCUCUUAUAC